rnacentral:rRNA from 1 species
AACGAACGCUGGCGGCAGGCUUAACACAUGCAAGUCGAGAGCCCCGCAAGGGGAGCGGCAGACGGGUGAGUAACGCGUGGGAAUCUACCGAGCCCUGCGGAAUAGCUCCGGGAAACUGGAAUUAAUACCGCAUACGCCCUACGGGGGAAAGAUGUUAUCGGGGUUUGAUGAGCCCGCGUUGGAGUAGCUAGUUGGUGGGGUAAAGGCCUACCAAGGCGACGAUCCAUGGCUGGUCUGAGCGGAUGAUCAGCCACAUUGGGACUGAGACACGGCCAGAACUCCUGCGGGAGGCAGCAGUGGGGAAUAUUGGACAAUGGGCGCACGCCUGAUCCAGCCAUGCCGCGUGAGUGAUGAAGGCCCUAGGGUUGUAAAGCUCUUUCAACGGUGAAGCUAAUGACGGUAACCGUAGAAGAAUCCCCGCAUAACUUCGUGCCAGCAGCCGCCGUAACAC